CCUACGGGUGGCAGCAGUGGGGAAUAUUGCGCAAUGGGCGAAAGCCUGAUGCAGCGACGCCGCGUGAGGGAUGAAGGUCUUCGGAUCGUAAACCUCUGUCAGCAGGGAAGAAAGGUCACUGGGGUAAUCAGCAGUGAAUUGACGGUACCUGCAAAGGAAGCACCGGCUAACUCCGUGCCAGCAGCCGCGGUAAUACGGAGGGUGCGAGCGUUAAUCGGAAUUACUGGGCGUAAAGCGCUCGAAGGCGGUAUGUCAAGUCAAGGGUGAAAUCCCCGGGCUCAACGGGGGAAGUGCCUUUGAAACUGGGAAACUGGAGUGUGUGAGAGGAUAGUGGAAUUCCAGGUGUAGCGGUGAAAUCCGUAGAUAUCUGGAGGAACAUCAGUGGCGAAGGCGGCUCUCUGGCACAUAACUGACGCUGAGGAGCGAAAGCGUGGGUAGCAAACAGGAUUAGAUACCCGGGUAGUC
rnacentral:rRNA from 1 species